rnacentral:rRNA from 1 species
CAGUAGCCGCGGGAAUACGUAGGGUGCAAGCGUUAAUCGGAAUUACUGGGCGUAAAGCGUGCGCAGGCGGUUAUAUAAGACAGAUGUGAAAUCCCCGGGCUCAACCUGGGAACUGCAUUUGUGACUGUAUAGCUAGAGUACGGCAGAGGGGGAUGGAAUUCCGCGUGUAGCAGUGAAAUGCGUAGAUAUGCGGAGGAACACCGAUGGCGAAGGCAAUCCCCUGGGCCUGUACUGACGCUCAUGCACGAAAGCGUGGGGAGCAAACAGGAUUAGAUACCCCAGUAGUCCCUGUCUCUUAUAC